rnacentral:tRNA from 1 species
GCGAGCGUGGCGAAAUUGGUAGACGCGCUGGUUUUAGGUACCAGUAUCUAUGAUGUGGGAGUUCGAGUCUCCCCGCUCGCACCA